rnacentral:rRNA from 1 species
AGUGAACGCUGGCGGUAGGCCUAACACAUGCAAGUCGAACGGCAGCACAGUAAGAGCUUGCUCUUACGGGUGGCGAGUGGCGGACGGGUGAGGAAUACAUCGGAAUCUACUUUUUCGUGGGGGAUAACGUAGGGAAACUUACGCUAAUACCGCAUACGACCUACGGGUGAAAGCAGGGGAUCUUCGGACCUUGCGCGAUUGAAUGAGCCGAUGUCGGAUUAGCUAGUUGGCGGGGUAAAGGCCCACCAAGGCGACGAUCCGUAGCUGGUCUGAGAGGAUGAUCAGCCACACUGGAACUGAGACACGGUCCAGACUCCUACGGGAGGCAGCAGUGGGGAAUAUUGGACAAUGGGCGCAAGCCUGAUCCAGCCAUACCGCGUGGGUGGAGAAGGCCUUCGGGUUGUAAAGCCCUUUUGUUGGGAAAGAAAAGCAGCAGGUUAAUACCCCGCUGUUCUGACGGUACCCAAAGAAUAAGCACCGGCUAACUUCAUG